rnacentral:rRNA from 1 species
CACGUCGUCCACUUCGGUCGAGCGGACCUUGCGGUUACCUCGCCCUCCUGCUGGCUAGCGGCCGACGGGAGAGUAACACGUAGGCAAUUCGCCCGUAAGAGCGGGAUAACUACCGGAAACGGUAGCUAAUACCGGAUAUAUCAAGUUUCUCGCAUGAGGGGCUUGGGAAAGGCGGAGCAAUCUGUCACUUACGGAUGGGCCUGCGGCGCAUUAGCUAGUUGGUGGGGUAACGGCUCACUAAGGCGAUGAUGCGUAGCCGACCUGAGAGGUUGAACGGCCACACUGGGACUGAGACACGGCCCACGACACCUACGGGAGGCAGCAGUAGGGAACCUGUCCGCAAUGGACGAAAGUCGAACGGAGCAACGCCGCGUGAGUGAAGAAGGUGUUCGGAUCUGGUAAAGCUCUGUUGCCAGGGAAGAACGUCUUCUGGAGUAACUGUGCGGGAGAGUGACGGUACCUGAGAAGAAAGCCCCGGCGACCGUACGUGCCAGCAGCCGCGCUUAAUACGUUUGGGGCCAGCGUUGUCCGGAAUUAUUGGGCGUAAAGCUCAUCGCAGGCGGCUGUUUAAGUCUGGUGUUUAAUCCUGGCUCUCAACUUCGGGUCGCACUGUCAACUGGAUGCCUUGAGAGCAGAAGAGGAGAGUGGUGUUCCACCGUGUAGCGGUGAAAUGCGUAGAGAUGUGGAGGAAUUCCAGUGGCGAAGGCGACUCUCUGGGCAUCCAACUGACGCUGAGGCGCGGAAGCGUGGGGAGCAAACAGACUUAGAUACCCUGGUAGUCCACGCCGUAAACCCAUGAGUUCUAGGUGUUAGGGGUUUCAUUACCCUUGGUGCCGGCACGUAAACACAUUAAGCACUCUUCCUGGGGAGUAUCGGUCGCCUGACUGAAACUCCAAGGAAUUGACGGGGACCCGCACUGGCAGUGGGGUAUGUGGUUUAAUCCGAAGCAACGCGAAUCACCUUACCAGGUCUUGACAUCCCUUCGACCGGUACAGAGAUGUACUACUGCUUCGGGACAGAGAAGACAGGUGGUGUCUGGUUGUCGUCAGCUCGUCUCUUGAGAUGUUGGGUUAAGCCCCGCAACGAGCGCAACCCCUAACUUUAGUUGCCAGCUAGUAAGGUUUUGCACUCUAGAGUGACCCCCGGUGACAAACCUGAGGAAGAUGGGGAUGACGUCAAAUAGAUAUGCCCCUUAUGACCUGGGCUACCACAUUUACUACAAUGGCCCCACUACAACGGGAACCGAAGGAGCGACGAUGGAGCGAAUCCUAGAAAAUACGGUCUCAAAUCGGAUUGCAGGCUGCAACUCGCGUGCAUUAAAAGUCGGAAUUGCUAGUAAUCGCGGAUUUGCAUGCCGCGGUGAAUACGUUAGCCGGGUCUUGUUUACACCGCCCGUCACACCAGGAGAGGACACAACAGGAAGAAGGACGUGAGGAAACCGAA